CCUCGGGCUGCUGGCUCCGGACGGCGAGCGCUUGCCAGAGGACCUAAACUCUGUUUGUCUAUACUGUCUGAGUACUAUAUAAUAGUUAAAACUUUCAACAACGGAUCUCUUGGUUCUGGCAUCGAUGAAGAACGCAGCGAAAUGCGAUAAGUAAUGUGAAUUGCAGAAUUCAGUGAAUCAUCGAAUCUUUGAUCGCACAUUGCGCCCCCUGGUAUUCCGGGGGGCAUGCCUGUCCGAGCGUCAUUACAACCCUCAAGCUCAGCUUGGUAUUGGGCCCCGCCGACCCGGCGGGCCCUAAAGUCAGUGGCGGUGCCGUCCGGCUCCGAGCGUAUAAUUCUUCUCGCUCUGGAGGUCCGUCGUGUGCUCGCCAGCAACCCCCAAUUUUUUUCAGGUUGACCUCGGAUCAGGUAGGGAUACACGCUGAACUUAAGCAUAUCAAUAAG
rnacentral:rRNA from 1 species